rnacentral:lncRNA from 1 species
AUUAAACCAUGCACUCCCCUCAUAUAGGUGCAUAUGCCCACAAAAUUAAAUGAUAACUAGGAUCAUAGCCUAUGUUACUUGCACUAAACAUAACUUAGUGCAUCAUCAACUCCAUAUAGCCUCCUCAUAUGUGGUUUGACAAAAUAUAUCCUUUAUCAUAAAGUGAACACAUAUUCCCUAAAUUCCAUGCAUUCAUACGGGAAUCAAAUGCAUGAUAAAAUUAACUCAUAAAAAGAGUUAUCCCAUAUAUUGCACACAUGCUCACAAGCCAGGCUAGUUAACCAUUAAAUAU